GAGGGUACAGCUCGAGUGGUAGAGCGCAUGCCUGACAUGCACGAAGUCCUGGGUUCAAUCCUGGUACCUCCG
rnacentral:tRNA from 1 species